rnacentral:rRNA from 1 species
AGCAGCCGCGGUAAUUCCAGCUCCAAUAGCGUAUAUUAAAGUUGUUGCAGUUAAAAAGCUCGUAGUUGAAUUUCGGGGUUCAUACGUUGGUCGGGCUAUUUGGUCUGUACUUAUGUAAUGGAUUCCUACCUUCUGAAUAACCGGCAUGCCAUUAAUUUGGUGCGCCGGGGAAGCAGGACUGUUACCUUGAAAAAAUUAGAGUGCUUAAAGCAGGCUAUCGCCUGAAUACAUUAGCAUGGAAUAAUGAAAUAGGACGGCAUGGUUCUAUUUUGUUGGUUUCUAGGAUCACCGUAAUGAUUAAUAGGGAUAGUUGGGGGCAUUAGUAUUCAAUUGUCAGAGGUGAAAUUCUUGGAUUUAUUGAAGACUAACUUCUGCGAAAGCAUUUGCCAAGGAUGUUUUCAUUAAUCAAGAACGAAAGUUAGGGGAUCGAAGACGAUCAGAUACCGUCGU